rnacentral:sRNA from 1 species
UGCUGACCGGGUGCCUGCACUAAGUUCGACACCAAUAUGGUGACCUCCUGGGAGCAGGGGGCCACCAAGUUGCCUAAGGAUGGCUGAACUGGCCCAGGUCAGAAACGGAGCAGGUCAGAACUCCCAAACCGACCGGUAGUGGGACUGUGCCUGGGCG